UGGGGAAUCUUGCGCAAUGGGCGAAAGCCUGACGCAGCAACGCCGCGUGCGGGAAGAAGGCCCUCGGGUUGUAAACCGCUUUCAGAAGGAACGAAAAUGACGGUACUUUCAGAAGAAGGUGCGGCCAACUACGUGCCAGCAGCCGCGGUGACACGUAGGCACCAAGCGUUGUCCGGAUUUAUUGGGCGUAAAGAGCUCGUAGGCGGUUCAGUAAGUCAGAUGUGAAAUCUUUAGGCUUAACCUAAAGCGUGCAUUUGAUACUGCUGUGACUUGAGUUCGGUAGGGGAGUGGGGAAUUCCUAGUGUAGCGGUGAAAUGCGCAGAUAUUAGGAGGAACACCGGUGGCGAAGGCGCCACUCUGGGCCGAAACUGACGCUGAGGAGCGAAAGCGUGGGUAGCAAACA
rnacentral:rRNA from 1 species